CCUACGUGAGGCAGCAGUGGGGAAUAUUGCGCAAUGGGCGAAAGCCUGACGCAGCGACGCCGCGUGAGGGAUGAAGGUCUUCGGAUCGUAAACCUCUGUCAGCAGGGAAGAACGGUCACUGUGCUAAUCAGCAGUGAAUUGACGGUACCUGCAAAGGCAGCACCGGCUAACUCCGUGCCAGCAGCCGCGGUAAUACGGAGGGUGCGAGCGUUAAUCGGAAUUACUGGGCGUAAGGCGCUCGUAGGCGGUAUGUCAAGUCAAGGGUGAAAUCCCCGCGCUCAACGUGGGAACUGCCUUUGAAACUGGCAAACUGGAGUGUGUGAGAGGAUAGUGGAAUUCCAGGUGUAGGAGUGAAAUCCGUAGAUAUCUGGAGGAACAUCAGUGGCGAAGGCGACUAUCUGGCACAUAACUGACGCUGAGGAGCGAAAGCGUGGGUAGCAAACAGGAUUAGAUACCCUUGUAGUC
rnacentral:rRNA from 1 species